rnacentral:rRNA from 1 species
CCAACGGGAGGCAGCAGUGGGGAAUAUUGGACAAUGGGGGGAACCCUGAUCCAGCCAUGCCGCGUGUGUGAAGAAGGCCUUAUGGUUGUAAAGCACUUUAAGCGAGGAGGAGGCUACUGAGACUAAUACUCUUGGAUAGUGGACGUUACUCGCAGAAUAAGCACCGGCUAACUCUGUGCCAGCAGCCGCGGUAAU